rnacentral:rRNA from 1 species
GGCGGGUUCUAUACAUGCAGUCGAGCGGACAGAUGGGAGCUUGCUCCCUGAAGUCAGCGGCGGACGGGUGAGUAACACGUGGGCAACCUGCCUGUAAGACUGGGAUAACUCCGGGAAACCGGGGCUAAUACCGGAUAAUUCUUUCCCUCACAUGAGGGAAAGCUGAAAGAUGGUUUCGGCUAUCACUUACAGAUGGGCCCGCGGCGCAUUAGCUAGUUGGUGAGGUAACGGCUCACCAAGGCAACGAUGCGUAGCCGACCUGAGAGGGUGAUCGGCCACACUGGGACUGAGACACGGCCCAGACUCCUACGGGAGGCAGCAGUAGGGAAUCUUCCGCAAUGGACGAAAGUCUGACGGAGCAACGCCGCGUGAGUGAUGAAGGUUUUCGGAUCGUAAAACUCUGUUGUUAGGGAAGAACAAGUACCGGAGUAACUGCCGGUACCUUGACGGUACCUAACCAGAAAGCCACGGCUAACUACGUGCCAGGCAGCCGCGGUAAUUACGUAGGUGGCAAGCGUUGUCCGGAAUUAUAUGGGCGUAAAGCGCGCGCGCAGCGGUUCCUUAAGUCUGAUGUGAAAGCCCCCGGCUCAACCGGGGGAGGGUCAUUGGAAACUGGGGGAACUUGAGUGCAGAAAAAGAAGAGU